AAAACGGUAAGCUAAACAAAGCUAUUGGGCUCAUACCCCACUUAUAGAGGUUACAGCCCUCUCCCUUUUA
rnacentral:tRNA from 1 species